rnacentral:snRNA from 1 species
GGAAAUGAUCUGGCUGCGAUUAUUUAGGCUCCAUUGAUUGCCAAGGUUGUUGGCUAAUUUAACUGGAUAGGUAGAUCUCCUCCUUAUCCACACUGCCCCCAUGGGACAACUUCUUGAAGUUGCAUGUUAGGGAGGGUUAGUUCCUAAAAAUCAGGUAAAUGAUGAGUAAAAUGUUAAAUAUUUGGCCAAAGGUGAACAAGUUAUUGUAUUUCUGUGCGAAAUCCUUCAAGCAGGACCAGCUACAUAAUUUGAAGGGUUCAGCAUAACAUAAAAAAUGUAAGGCAACUUGUU